GAUGAAGAACGUAGCGAAAUGCGAUACGUAACGUGAAUUGCAGAAUUCAGUGAAUCAUCGAGUCUUUGAACGCACAUUGCGCCCCCUGGUAUUCCGGGGGGCAUGCCUGUCCGAGCGUCAUUGCUGCCCUCAAGCACGGCUUGUGUGUUGGGCCUCCGUCCUCCUCCCGGGGGACGGGCCCGAAAGGCAGCGGCGGCACCGCGUCCGGUCCUCGAGCGUAUGGGGCUUCGUCACCCGCUCUUGUAGGCCCGGCCGGCGCUUGCCGACACAUCAAUCUUUUUUCCAGGUUGACCUCGGAUCAGGUAGGGAUACCCGCUGAACUUAAGCAUAUCAAUAAGCGGAGGA
rnacentral:misc_RNA from 1 species